AUACGUAGGGGGCGAGCGUUGUCCGGAAUGAUUGGGCGUAAAGGGCGCGUAGGCGGCCCGGUAAGUCUGGAGUGAAAGUCCUGUUUUUAAGAUGGGAAUUGCUUUGGAUACUGUCGGGCUUGAGUGCAGGAGAGGUAAGUGGAAUUCCCAGUGUAGCGGUGAAAUGCGUAGAGAUUGGGAGGAACACCAGUGGCGAAGGCGAAUUACUGGGCUGUAACUGACGCUGAGGCGCGAAAGUGUGGGGAGCAAACAGGAUUAGAUACCCUGGGAGUCCACACUGUAAACGAUGAAUUCUAGGUGUAGGGGGUAUCGACCCCUUCUGUGCCGCAGUCAACACAAUAAGCAUUCCGCCUGGGGAGUACGGCCGCAAGGUUGAAACUCAAAUGAAUUGACGGGG
rnacentral:rRNA from 1 species